GCAAUUCAUUUAAUGAAUUCCUUUACCUGAGAGGAAGAUUGCAGAGGCAAGGGUUUGUGCCAGGGUCUCCAGGGAAUAAAGCCAACUCCUGGUCUUCGUGGAUUGAAUCAUAACUUCUUUGAUGGGCAAGCUUUCCCUCACCUCCAUGAGUAGAUCUUGUAUUACACGUUCUCUUGGCACCAUAUGCUUUUCUUUUAACAGCUGUAACUUUAUAAUUAUUUGUGUCAUUCUUUAAUUUAUAUUUCUAUCCUCCACUCAACUCCAAAUUUCUUGAGGGCAGGUAUUAUGUAUCUUUCCCUCCACUUACUAUUGUGUCCCUAAGCAUCAAACACAUAAUCGAUGUUUAAUAAAUAUUUGUUGGAUGAAUGAAUGAAUCAGGCAAUAAAGAUUUAGAAGAAAAUUGUAUUUGAUUGUUCUAGUUGCUUCAUAACUCUGGAGAAAACAUUGUUACCGAAUAUUUGAGAUAUAAACAGACUACAUUUUAGCCGAGAAUGAUGUCACCACUACUUCCUUUUCUUAAGAAUGGAGAAGUAUGUGGGUUUCUUUCUUCUUCUUUUUUUUUUCCUACAUUUGCCCAAGUUCCUCCAGAUAGCAAACAUGUACUUUCUUUCUCCUGAAAACACAAUGUGGCAAAUAAAUGUCCAAUAGAUUCCAAAAGCUUUGUUUUCCUUAAUUAUCACAAAGAUGUUUUACAUUGUUGGAGGCUAGAUAUUUAAAUCUAUGGUGGAAUGUUUAACUGGUGGUCUUUGCCAUGAUACAUCAUUAAUGUUGAUUUUAAUUUUGUUUGCCCUUAACAUUUCUGAUUUAAUCUCCAGUCUCCUGUGAAAUUGAGAAGAAUCAGAAUUCAGCAUUGCCAAGUGCAAGCUAGCCUUUUGAAAAUCAUCAUAAUAAAAAUAAUAGAUGUGUAAAC
rnacentral:lncRNA from 1 species